AAGUCGAAGGCGCAUAGCCUGAGUUCCGGUUCAACAGUAGUUGAACCUUUGUAGUUUUUGAAGUCGAAGGCGCAUAGCCUGAGUCCCGGUUCAACCGUAGUUGAACCUUUGGGUAAAGGCACGUAGCAUGAACUGUUGUUCAACCGUAGUAGAAUCUUUGUAAUUUUUGAAGUCGAAGGCGCAUAGCCUGAGUCCCGGUUCAACCGUAAUUUAACUUUGUAGUGUUUGAAGUCGAAGGCGCAUAGCCUGAGUCCCGGCUCAACCGUAGACGAACGUUUGUAAUUUUUGAAGUUGAAGGCGCAUAGCCUGAGUCUUGGUUCAACCGUAGUUGAACCUUUGGGUGAAGGCACGUAGCUUGAACUGUGUUCAACCGUAGUUGAAUCUUUGUAAUUGUUGAAGUCGAAGGCGCAUAGCCUGAGUCCCGGUUCAACCGUAGUUAAACUUUUGGGUAAAGGCACGUAGCCUGAACUGCUAUUCAACCGUAGUUGAAUCUUUAUAAUAUUUGAAGUCGAAGGCGCAUAGCCUGAGUCCCGGUUCUACCGUAGUUUAACCUUUGUAGUGUUUGAAGUCGAAAGCGCAUAGCCUGAGUCCCGGUUCAACUGCAGACGAAACUUUGUAAUUUUUGAAGCCGAAGGCGCAUAGCCUAAGUCCCAGUUCAACCGUAGUUGAACCUUUGGGUGAAGGCACGUAGCUUGAACUGCUGUUCAACCGUAGUUGAAUCUUUGUAAUUGUUGAAGUCGAAGGCGCAUAGCCUGAGUCCCGGUUCAACCGUAGUUGAACCUUAGUAUCCUCCCACACAACUCGCUUUGCUGGGCGUUGGGAUUUGUUUGUGGUUUCGGGUCUUGCCUAACUCAUGCUUGUAGUCUUCACGACUGGUUCGCACAGGUUACCCCGUUACAGAUCUCGGUUCGAGAUGCUUUUGUGAUUUCCUCCCCUUUGGCAGGAUCUCGUACGAAAAAAGGGGAGGUACCUUAUGCGCAUUUUCCCAUGGGGAUGGGGGAUCUACUUCUUCUUCUUCUUCCUCUUGCUCGGAGACGCAGUAUGUGGAAGCAAGCUUGUCUCGAGGCUUUUAACUUCUUUUGGUCCGACAUACCGUUUUGGCUUGUUCGAGCUGGGUUGUUCUCUUUCCUUUUCUGGUCUAAAGAUAAACUACGCGAUUCUGCUACGAAAUCCCAGUAGACGGCGCCAAAUUGUUUAGUUCAAAGUUCUCAUACACUUUAUAAGCAUAAAUCAAUUAAAAUCGACCGAGGGCCAAUCAUAGCAGAUCGUAAUAAUCAAGAGACCGAAUGAAUAAAAUGUAAGAGAUAACAGUUAAUGGUUAAGGAGGGAGGGGGAAGAUCUUUUAUUAAUGAUAUCGAUUAGGUCUGUCUCUCCACAAAAAGGUUCAGAGCCCUACAAUGAUGUAUAUUCUCUUCUCUUAGAAAUAAAUGUGGAGAAAAAGAAGAAGCAGCCCCCUUUGGGAGUUUUUUCUCUUAGUAUUUAUAGCUAUGAAGCUUCCCGGCCGGCGAGGGACGGCCGUAACCGCGUCGAAGGGAUGUCCAUGAGCACCGAGUGAGCCGUGGUCUCAUUAAUUAGGUCGAGUAUCCUCGGAACGCCUUAGUCAGCGAAUGAUUAUACCUUUUAUUAGCCCGAGCAAGUUUAAGAGAUAGUUAGACGUGCUAAUUACCGUGGAUCUUAUUCUGACCCAUACAGAUACCAUCAUCAACAACAACCCAGUAUAAUCCCACUUGGUGGGGUCUGGGGAGGGUAAUAUGUACGCAUACCUUACCCCUACCCUUGGGUAGAGAGGCUGUUUCCAAAUAGACCCCCGGCAU
rnacentral:lncRNA from 1 species